GAUGAAGGUAGCGAAAUGCGAUAAGUAGUGUGAAUUGCAGAAUUCCGUGAAUCAUCGAAUCUUUGAACGCACAUUGCGCCUCCUGGUAAUCCGUGAGGCAUGCCUGUCCGAGCGUCAGUAAAAAGCAACUCGGCCGCGGCUGGCGGUUGGUGAUGGAGGAAGAGCACGUCUCGUUGUCGGUCUCCCCUCCCAAAAUCAACGGCGGAAUGUCACUGGCACUCGGUGUUGUAGUAUUAUUCGCCGAUCACCCAUUGUUGUUCCUGCCGCCCAAACCCCCACAAUUCUCUUGAUUGACCUCGGAUCAGGUAGGGAUACCCGCUGAACUUAAGCAUAUCAAUAAGCGGAGGA
rnacentral:misc_RNA from 1 species